rnacentral:rRNA from 1 species
UGGUCUUUGGAGUGACUCGAGUGGCGAACGGGUGAGUAACACGUGGGUGAUCUGCCCUGCACUUUGGGAUAAGCCUGGGAAACUGGGUCUAAUACCGAAUAGGACUGCGCUCUUCAUGGGGUGUGGUGGAAAGCUUUUGCGGUGUGGGAUGGGCCCGCGGCCUAUCAGCUUGUUGGUGGGGUGAUGGCCUACCAAGGCGACGACGGGUAGCCGGCCUGAGAGGGUGAUCCGGCCACACUGGGACUGAGAUACGGCCCAGACUCCUACGGGAGGCAGCAGUGGGGAAUAUUGCACAAUGGGCGCAAGCCUGAUGCAGCGACGCCGCGUGGGGGAUGACGGCCUUCGGGUUGUAAACCUCUUUCAGUAGGGACGAAGCGUAAGUGACGGUACGCUACAGAAGAAGCACCGGCCAACUACGUGCCAGCAGCCGCGGUAAUACGUAGGGUGUCAGCGUUGUCCGGAAUUACUGGUCGUAGAUGAGACUCUGUAG